AUUAGAGUUUGAUCCUGGCUCAGAUUGAACGCUGGCGGCACGCCUAACACAUGCAAGUCGAGCGGCAGCGAGACUAGUAGCAAUACUAGUUGUCGGCGAGCGGCGGACGGGUGAGGAACACGUAGGAAUCUGCCCAGAAGAGGGGGAUAACCAAGGGAAACUUUGGCUAAUACCGCAUAAACUCGAGAGAGGAAAGCUGCCCGCAAGGGUGGCGCGUUUGGAGGAGCCUGCGUCCGAUUAGCUAGUUGGUGGGGUAAGAGCCCACCAAGGCGAUGAUCGGUAACUGGUCUGAGAGGACGACCAGUCACACUGGGACUGAGACACGGCCCAGACUCCUACGGGAGGCAGCAGUGGGGAAUUUUGGACAAUGGGGGCAACCCUGAUCCAGCCAUUCCGCGUGAGUGAAGAAGGCCUUCGGGUUGUAAAGCUCUUUCAGCUGGAACGAAACGGUACAGGUUAAUACCCUGUGCUAAUGACGGUACCGGCAGAAGAAGCACGGCUAACUACGUGCCAGCAGCCGCGGUAAUACGUAGGGUGCGAGCGUUAAUCGGAAUUACUGGGCGUAAAGCGUGCGCAGGCGGAUUGUUAAGCAAGAUGUGAAAUCCCCGGGCUUAACCUGGGAAUGGCAUUUUGAACUGGCAGUCUAGAGUGCGUCAGAGGGGGGUGGAAUUCCACGUGUAGCAGUGAAAUGCGUAGAGAUGUGGAGGAACACCAAUGGCGAAGGCAGCCCCCUGGGAUGACACUGACGCUCAUGUACGAAGCGUGGGUAGCAAACAGGAUUAGAUACCCUGGUAGUCCACGCCCUAAACGAUGUCAACUGGUUGUUGGGGGAGUGAAAUCCCUUAGUAACGAAGCUAACGCGUGAAGUUGACCGCCUGGGGAGUACGGUCGCAAGAUUAAAACUCAAAGGAAUUGACGGGGACCCGCACAAGCGGUGGAUGAUGUGGAUUAAUUCGAUGCAACGCGAAAAACCUUACCUACCCUUGACAUGUCCGGAAUCCUGCAGAGAUGCGGGGGUGCCCGAAAGGGAAUCGGAACACAGGUGCUGCAUGGCUGUCGUCAGCUCGUGUCGUGAGAUGUUGGGUUAAGUCCCGCAACGAGCGCAACCCUUAUCAUUAGUUGCUACGCAAGGGCACUCUAAUGAGACUGCCGGUGACAAACCGGAGGAAGGUGGGGACGACGUCAAGUCAUCAUGGCCCUUACGUCCAGGGCGACACACGUGCUACAAUGGCCGGUACAGAGCGUCGCAAGCUGGCAACAGCAAGCCAAUCGCCAAAAGCCGGUCUAAGUUCGGAUUGCAGUCUGCAACUCGACUGCAUGAAGCUGGAAUCGCUAGUAAUCGUGGAUCAGCCACGCCACGGUGAAUACGUUCCCGGGCCUUGUACACACCGCCCGUCACGCCAUGGAAGCUGGGGGGACCUGAAGCCGGUGGGCUAACCCGCAAGGGGGGCAGCCGUCAAAGGUCAAUUCAGUGACUGGGGCGAAGUCGUAACAAGGUAACC
rnacentral:rRNA from 1 species